GGCUGAACCGCCUUGAGGUGUGGAGACACGAAGGGAUCCCAGAUCGAAGUCCCCUCGUUCCUACGUUGGGGCAGUUGCCCCGGCUGUCCGGUGAGGGAGAGAGGGGUGGGACCCUGCCGGGUCCGGCACCAGUGUGUGGUGUCCUGCUCCAGGGUGUCCUGAGGCUACUAUCCAUGUCAUUGGUCACCGACCCUUCGCAGGAGGAUGACACACGUGACGACUCUGUCUGAGCCCAGCUUCCCCCUCUAAAAUAGGGACAAGAACGUCCGCCCACACGAUUGCUGGAAUCUUCAAUGAUGACACAGCUCUUCAUGCAGGUGACUGACCUCAUGUCAGGUGUGUGAAGGAGGUGGGUCUGAGAACCUGAUGGUGGUGGCCGCUGAAGCUUCUACUCCAGAUUUGAAGGGAAUAAUCCUCAGGAGACCCCCAGCACUUUCAUUUGAUGGGAUAUGAUGUCUGGCUCAAAGAGCUGUAUUUCUCAUAAAGGGUUGCAGACAGGCUGGGAAGUGAAGCCUCCUGCCAGAAGCCAGAAACAGAUACUAACGAUGGUUUUUGGGAAUGAUAUACGUGAGGAUGGUGGAAGUGAGGAGUCAAAUCAUUACCUUUUCCCUACUCCACAGCCCCGCCGGGUGAUGAAGAUGGUUGAAGAGGUGAAAUCCCGCCCUUUGUGCUGAGAGACCUGGGUGUAGGGCCACAGGAGCUGGCUGAACCCUGAAGCGAAAAUGGUGGAUACAGAGAGAUUGCUACCAUGAGCUGAACAAUUCUGGAAAACUGAUACCUUCUUGAAGCCAAGCUCCUAACCUCCAUCCUCUCCCUUGCUGAGCCCUGGUCUGAAAUGCUCACAGCUGCAGUCGGGCUCUGACCACCAGGUUGCUCAGCGUUGGAGCAUUAGCCCCCUGAGUUGCACUGAUGUUAAUAAAAUGCUACUUCCUAAGAUA